GUUUGUGUUUCCAGCACCUGCAUCAACGUUUCCUCUAAUUCUUUUAUCACAGCUGUGUAGACCGAUCAUGGCUCUGAGCAGGAAAUUUUUACAUGGCCUGAAAACUUCACGCCCCUUGCCAACUCCCAGUGGAUGUACUUCAUUUGAAAUUUGAGGAGACUUGGAUUGGAAACAGCUGCCCAGAGUUGUAAACUCAGUCAGAUCCAUCAUGAGCACAAUUCUCCCCACCAUCGCGGACGUGUUCAAAAGGCAAUGGCUCUGAAAGGACCCUUACCACCAAGGUCAUGUCCUCUUCUCAUUACUACCAUCAUGGAGGUGCUACAGGAGCCUGAGGAUGCACACUCAACAUUUUAGGAACAGCAUCUUCCCAUCCACUGUCAGAUUUG